CGCGAACGUUGGCGGCGUGCCUAACACAUGCAAGUCGUGGGGCAGCAGGCUACUGUCUUUUGGCAGUAGUGCUGGCGACCGGCAAACGGGUGAGUAACACGUAGCUUACCUACCCAUAGGUUGGGGAUAACAUCCCGAAAGGGGUGCUAAUACCCAAUAAUGAGGAGACUCCAAAGCCCUUAUGGGCGCCUAUGGAUGGGGCUGCGUCCCAUCAGCUAGUUGGUGAGGUAAUGGCUCACCAAGGCUACGACGGGUAACCGGUCUGAGAGGAUGACCGGUCACAGUGGGACUGAGACACGGCCCGCACCCCUACGGGGGGCAGCAGUGGGGAAUAUUGGGCAAUGGCCGAAAGGCUGACCCAGCAACGCCGCGUGGUGGAUGAAGCCCUUCGGGGUGUAAACACCUUUUCUGGGGGAAGAUAAUGACGGUACCCCAGGAAUAAGGGACGGCUAACUACGUGCCAGCAGCCGCGGUAAUACGUAGGUCCCGAACGUUGCGCGAAUUUACUGGGCGUAAAGGGCGUGUAGGCGGCUUGGGGCGUCCCAUGUGAAAGGCCACGGCUCAACCGUGGAGGAGCGUGGGAUACGCUCAGGCUAGACGGUGGGAGAGGGUGGUGGAAUUCCCGGAGUAGCGGUGAAAUGCGCAGAUACCGGGAGGAACGCCGAUGGCGAAGGCAGCCACCUGGCUCACUUGUGACGCUGAGGCGCGAAAGCGUGGGGAGCAAACCGGAUUAGAUACCCGGGUAGUCCACGCCCUAAACGAUGCGCGCUAGGUCUCUGGGGUUUCUGGGGGCCGAAGCCAACGCGUUAAGCGCGCCGCCUGGGGAGUACGGCCGCAAGGCUGAAACUCAAAGGAAUUGACGGGGGCCCGCACAAGCGGUGGAGCAUGUGGUUUAAUUCGAAGCAACGCGAAGAACCUUACCAGGCCUUGACAUGCUAGGGAACCUAGGUGAAAGCCUGGGGUGCCCCGCGAGGGGAGCCUUAGCACAGGUGCUGCAUGGCCGUCGUCAGCUCGUGUCGUGAGAUGUUGGGUUAAGUCCCGCAACGAGCGCAACCCCUGCCGUUAGUUGCCAGCGGGUCGAGCCGGGCACUCUAACGGGACUGCCUGCGAAAGCAGGAGGAAGGCGGGGACGACGUCUGGUCAUCAUGGCCCUUACGGCCUGGGCGACACACGUGCUACAAUGCCCACUACAGAGCGAGGCGACCUGGUGACGGGGAGCGAAUCGCAGAAAGGUGGGCGUAGUUCGGAUUGGGGUCUGCAACCCGACCCCAUGAAGCCGGAAUCGCUAGUAAUCGCGGAUCAGCCAUGCCGCGGUGAAUACGUUCCCGGGCCUU
rnacentral:rRNA from 1 species